rnacentral:rRNA from 2 species
AGGUUGUGCCCUUGAGGCGUGGCUUCCGGAGCUAACGCGUUAAGUAGACCGCCUGGGGAGUACGGCCGCAAGGUUAAAACUCAAAUGAAUUGACGGGGGCCCGCACAAGCGGUGGAGCAUGUGGUUUAAUUCGAUGCAACGCGAAGAACCUUACCUGGUCUUGACAUCCACAGAAGAAUCCAGAGAUGGAUUUGUGCCUUCGGGAACUGUGAGACAGGUGCUGCAUGGCUGUCGUCAGCUCGUGUUGUGAAAUGUUGGGUUAAGUCCCGCAACGAGCGCAACCCUUAUCCUUUGUUGCCAGCGGUUAGGCCGGGAACUCAAAGGAGACUGCCAGUGAUAAACUGGAGGAAGGUGGGGAUGACGUCAAGUCAUCAUGGCCCUUACGACCAGGGCUACACACGUGCUACAAUGGCGCAUACAAAGAGAAGCGACCUCGCGAGAGCAAGCGGACCUCAUAAAGUGCGUCGUAGUCCGGAUUGGAGUCUGCAACUCGACUCCAUGAAGUCGGAAUCGCUAGUAAUCGUGGAUCAGAAUGCCACGGUGAAUACGUUCCCGGGCCUUGUACACACCGCCCGUCACACCAUGGGAGUGGGUUGCAAAAGAAGUAGGUAGCUUAACCUUCGGGAGGGCGCUUACCACUUUGUGAUUCAUGACUGGGGUGAAGUCGUAACAAGGUAACCGUAGGGGAACCUGCGGUUGGA